AUGUUCUCUGUAGCUCUGAUGCUGCUGCUGGCAGCUGGAUCCUGUGUGUACAGUAUUGAUCUCAUCCAGCCAGACUCAAUGGUUGUGCAGCCUGGACAGUCUUUGACCAUCACCUGUCAGGUCUCUGGUUAUUCUCUGACUGAUGACAGCUAUGCAACAGGUUGGAUCAGACAGCGUGAAGGAAAACCAAUGGACUGGAUUAUUCAUCAGUGGGGAGGAGGUAGCUUUAACCAAAAUGAUGCUCUGAAGAACAAGUUCAGCGCCAGCAGAGACACUUCUGUUAGAACAGUGACUAUUAAAGGACAGAAUCUGCAGCCUGAGGACACAGCUGUGUAUUACUGUCUUUUGCACAACUUGGAUCAGACAGCCUGCAGGGAAAGGACUGGACUGUAUUGGAAUGAAAGUUGGACACAUAUCAUACUACAAAGACUGACUAAAGAGGAUUGUGCAGCCUGA